UACGUAGGGAGCAAGCGUUGUCCGGAAUCAUUGGGCGUAAAGCGCGCGUAGGUGGCCUCAUAAGUCCGCUGUGAAAGUCAAAGGCUCAACCUUUGAAAGCCGGUGGAUACUGUGAGGCUAGAGUACGGAAGAGGCGAGUGGAAUUCCUGGUGUAGCGGUGGAAUGCGCAGAUAUCAGGAGGAACACCAAUAGCGAAGGCAGCUCGCUGGGACGUUACUGACACUGAGGCGCGAAAGCGUGGGGAGCGAAUAGG
rnacentral:rRNA from 1 species